UGGAACACAUGCGCAAAGAGGAAGUAUCUCAACAGGCUUCUCUCUCGCGAGGGAGUAUCUGGUUCUCGAACAACAUUGUCCUUGUGCGCCAAUUAGUUCAUAUUAGUGGGAAUCUAUUUACACGGAGAGGAAUUAUGGAAAGAUACAACUUUGAGGUUUGGACGUCACUCUACAGAUGGACCCUCUAUCCUGACACCUCUGGAGCAGUGCUGCAGGAUCUGUCACUCUACCCUCCUGUGUCUGUCUGCGUCUCCUCUCCCUGCCCCAGUACAGUCUGAUGUCAUGAGGGACUCUUUUUCAUGAUCCUCUAUUCCCGUGGCCCCUCUCCACCCUGGACCAUCGCCUAGCAACCGUGCUCAGAACCUUUGAGCCGUUGCCAGGAUCAACAGUGUAGCCUCCAUGGACGAGCCCUGCCACAAACGGACCAGCUGACAUGAUGUCAGUGAUUCUUUCGUUGACACGGGUGUGAGUGUUGACGAGGACAAGGCUGGAGAUCACUGUCAUGCUGAUUGAGUUUGAAUAACAGACUGGAAGCUUCAGGAGGGUGGUGCUUGGAACCAUUGCCAGUAAGAUUGUACCU